UUAAGUGACUAAGCGUACACGGUGGAUGCCUGGGCAGUCAGAGGCGAUGAAGGACGUACUAACUUGCGAUAAGCGCAGAUAAGGCAGUAAGAGCCGUUUGAGUCUGCGAUUUCCGAAUGGGGAAACCCAACUGCAUAAGCAGUUACUGUUAACUGAAUACAUAGGUUAACAGAGCAAACCGGGGGAACUGAAACAUCUAAGUACCCCGAGGAGAAGAAAUCAACCGAGAUUCCGGUAGUAGCGGCGAGCGAACCUGGAUUAGCCCUUAAGCACUCGGUGAAGUAGGUGAACAAGCUGGAAAGCUUGGCGAUACAGGGUGAUAGCCCCGUAACCGACGCUUCAUCGAGCGUGAAAUCGAGUAGGGCGGGACACGUGAUAUCCUGUCUGAAUAUGGGGGGACCAUCCUCCAAGGCUAAAUACUCCUGACUGACCGAUAGUGAACCAGUACCGUGAGGGAAAGGCGAAAAGAACCCCUGUGAGGGGAGUGAAAUAGAACCUGAAACCGUGUACGUACAAGCAGUAGGAGCACCUUCGUGGUGUGACUGCGUACCUUUUGUAUAAUGGGUCAGCGACUUAUAUUCAGUGGCAAGGUUAACCGUAUAGGGGAGCCGUAGCGAAAGCGAGUCUUAACUGGGCGCUCAGUCUCUGGAUAUAGACCCGAAACCGGGUGAUCUAGCCAUGGGCAGGUUGAAGGUUGAGUAACAUCAACUGGAGGACCGAACCGACUAAUGUUGAAAAAUUAGCGGAUGACUUGUGGCUAGGGGUGAAAGGCCAAUCAAACUCGGAGAUAGCUGGUUCUCCCCGAAAGCUAUUUAGGUAGCGCCUCGGACGAAUACUACUGGGGGUAGAGCACUGUUAAGGCUAGGGGGUCAUCCCGACUUACCAACCCUUUGCAAACUCCGAAUACCAGUAAGUACUAUCCGGGAGACACACGGCGGGUGCUAACGUCCGUCGUGGAGAGGGAAACAACCCAGACCGCCAGCUAAGGUCCCAAAGUAUUGCUAAGUGGGAAACGAUGUGGGAAGGCUCAGACAGCUAGGAUGUUGGCUUAGAAGCAGCCAUCAUUUAAAGAAAGCGUAAUAGCUCACUAGUCGAGUCGGCCUGCGCGGAAGAUGUAACGGGGCUAAGCAAUACACCGAAGCUGCGGCAAUGUCUUUUAGACAUUGGGUAGGGGAGCGUUCUGUAAGCCGUUGAAGGUGAAUCGUAAGGUUUGCUGGAGGUAUCAGAAGUGCGAAUGCUGACAUGAGUAACGACAAAGGGGGUGAAAAACCUCCUCGCCGGAAGACCAAGGGUUCCUGUCCAACGUUAAUCGGGGCAGGGUGAGUCGACCCCUAAGGUGAGGCCGAAAGGCGUAAUCGAUGGGAAACGGGUUAAUAUUCCCGUACUUCUGACUAUUGCGAUGGGGGGACGGAGAAGGCUAGGUGGGCCAGGCGACGGUUGUCCUGGUUCAAGUGCGUAGGCUUGAGAGUUAGGUAAAUCCGGCUCUCUCUAAGGCUGAGACACGACGUCGAGCUACUACGGUAGUGAAGUCAUUGAUGCCAUGCUUCCAGGAAAAGCCUCUAAGCUUCAGAUAGUCAGGAAUCGUACCCCAAACCGACACAGGUGGUCGGGUAGAGAAUACCAAGGCGCUUGAGAGAACUCGGGUGAAGGAACUAGGCAAAAUGGUACCGUAACUUCGGGAGAAGGUACGCUCUUGAUGGUGAAGUCCCUCGCGGAUGGAGCUGACGAGAGUCGCAGAUACCAGGUGGCUGCAACUGUUUAUUAAAAACACAGCACUGUGCAAAAUCGCAAGAUGACGUAUACGGUGUGACGCCUGCCCGGUGCCGGAAGGUUAAUUGAUGGGGUUAGCGCAAGCGAAGCUCUUGAUCGAAGCCCCGGUAAACGGCGGCCG
rnacentral:rRNA from 1 species